rnacentral:rRNA from 1 species
GACGAACGCUGGCGGCGUGCUUAACACAUGCAAGUCGAACGGAAAGGCCUUGCUUUUGUGGGGUGCUCGAGUGGCGAACGGGUGAGUAACACGUGAGUAACCUGCCCUUGACUUUGGGAUAACUUCAGGAAACUGGGGCUAAUACCGGAUAGGAGCUCCUGCUGCAUGGUGGGGGUUGGAAAGUUUCGGCUGUUGGGGAUGGACUCGCGGCUUAUCAGCUUGUUUGUGGGGUAGUGGCUUACCAAGGGUUUGACGGGUAGCCGGCCUGGGAGGGUGACCGGGCACAAUGGGACUGAGAGACGGACCAGAAGCCUACGGGAGGAAGCAGUGGGGAAUAUUGCACAAUGGGCGGAAGCCUGAUGCAGAAACGCCGCGUGCGGGAUGACGGCCUUCGGGUUGUAAACCGCUGUGGCAUGUGACGAAGAGUGAGUGACGGUAAUGGGUAAAGAAGCACCGGCUAACUACGUG